ensembl:lncRNA
CUAGUAACAGCCGUCUCCCAAGCUCACUUGGCCUGAGACGGUCAACAGCGAACAUGCUGAGCUGCUUCUCCACUUCGAGAGGCCGUAGCCUCAGGACCCCAGGUAGAGAAAGUAUCUGUGAAAGACUAAGAAGAGGCUGGCUCCAUCCAGACACCGCAUGACUGUCCCAGAAACCCCAGGGACGGUCUCCCUGGGAGUGACCACCAGUGACCUACCAAAAUCAAGCUUCUCAGAGCACAUGGAGUAAUUUUUAAUACCCUCCAGCACUCUUGAUAUGUGAUAUCUUCAGUUGAUGCGAGAUUUGUUUGGAGCUUCCCUAGAGAAAUAUGAGAUUUGAUUUGACUGGAACUUGGAAUCACUUGGAAAUUGUGGGUGAGAAGAAGAAAGACCAAUGAAGAAGGAACCAUCCAGGCCAGGAUAGAGGUCAAAGAGGAGAAAAGUGACAGAAAGAAAGUCACCAAUUUUCCCUUGACUUUGGACAGCUCUGCUUCCCUCUGAUGAAGCCCAGUUGUGCAAUUUUCUUUCCCUCAAUUAAAGGGAAAAAAUACAGAGUACUGAAAGGCCAA